AACAAAUGCAUCAGAAAUUCGGCAGAAAAAUAUGGGCCUUGUGGAUGUUAAGGCACCAAGAGAGAGUUGCAGCAAGCCACAAAAUUUGCAGGAAAUGAUGCAGAAACACAUGGCCCUAAGUGCUCCAGCCAUACUCUCUCUGGAUCAGUUUCAAAACCUCAUUGUCUGCUCCCUGUUGCUGCAGUGACAGUUGCUUCAAAGAUACAUAUCAGCAAUUAAAUGAACGUUUUUUUUAAAUUUGUUGGGUAAUCAAAUCAUUUUUGUACAAAAAAAAAUUGGUGAAUUUUAUGUACCUGUCUUGCUGUGGUGUCUAUAUAAGAUCAAAGUUGGCUAUGUGGCAGAUACUUGAGAAUAUCAGUGCACCAAUGGAGAGCUCAAG
rnacentral:lncRNA from 1 species